GACGAACGCUGGCGGCGUGCUUAACACAUGCAAGUCGAACGGUAAGGCCCUUCGGGGUACACGAGUGGCGAACGGGUGAGUAACACGUGGGUGAUCUGCCCUGCACUUCGGGAUAAGCCUGGGAAACUGGGUCUAAUACCGGCUAGGACUCCUGCCUGCAUGGGCGGGGGGGGAAAGCUUUUGCGGUGUGGGAUGGGCCCGCGGCCUAUCAGCUUGUUGGUGGGGUGAUGGCCUACCAAGGCGACGACGGGUAGCCGGCCGGAGAGGGUGACCGGCCACACUGGGACUGAGAUACGGCCCAGACUCCUACGGGAGGCAGCAGUGGGGAAUAUUGCACAAUGGGCGCAAGCCUGAUGCAGCGACGCCGCGUGAGGGAUGACGGCCUUCGGGUUGUAAACCUCUUUCAGCACAGACGAAGCGAAGUGACGGUAUGUGCAGAAGAAGGACCGGCCAACUACGUGCCAGCAGCCGCGGUAA
rnacentral:rRNA from 1 species